rnacentral:rRNA from 1 species
AGCGAACGCUGGCGGCAGGCCUAACACAUGCAAGUCGAACGAACUCUUCGGAGUUAGUGGCGGACGGGUGAGUAACACGUGGGAACGUGCCUUUAGGUUCGGAACAACUCAGGGAAACUUGUGCUAAUACCGAAUGUGCCCUUCGGGGGAAAGAUUUAUCGCCUUUAGAGCGGCCCGCGUCUGAUUAGCUAGUUGGUGAGGUAAAGGCUCACCAAGGCGACGAUCAGUAGCUGGUCUGAGAGGAUGAUCAGCCACAUUGGGACUGAGACACGGCCCAAACUCCUACGGGAGGCAGCAGUGGGGAAUCUUGCGCAAUGGGCGAAAGCCUGACGCAGCCAUGCCGCGUGAAUGAUGAAGGUCUUAGGAUUGUAAAAUUCUUUCACCGGGGACGAUAAUGACGGUACCCGGAGAAGAAGCCCCGGCUAACUUCGUUCCAGCCUCCGCAGUAA